UAAGCCACCAUUUUAGGUGACCAGGUUGCUC
rnacentral:piRNA from 1 species